CUUAUAAAUUACCCAGCCUCAGGUAUUCCAUUACAGCAAGGAAAGAACAGACUAACACAACAUGUUGGUGACUUCUGAGGCUCCCCUUCCUGCUGUCUGUGGGGACCGGUCCCUCCUUUGACCACCUGCAGAAAUUCAUCCUAACCACUGCUCUGGUGCCAGCGCGUUGCCACCACAGGUGCUGGGGUUUUUGGUUUUCUUGAGAGCACACUAGCAGGCUCUGUGGGCCGCGGGACACCAGAGGACCCUCUUUUAGGAAGGAGCUGUGGGCCGCGGGACACCAGAGGACCCUCUUUUAGGAAGGAGCUGUGGGCCGCGGGACACCAGAGGACCCUCUUUUAGGAAGGAGCUAUGCAGAACAGCUUGGGCCACCGCCAGCCAGGACGUCCCCCUUAGGAGCUGGGCUAGCACGGCAGGCAUGAGAUGUGCAGGGAAGGGGCCCCUCCCACCAGGUCAGAGGAGAGGCAGGGAGGCCAGCCCCACCAAAGCCAGGCCUCCAUUUAUUUGUAAAGUGAGAGCUGGAACUUCACAAUCACAAAAGGUUUUUCCCAAGAACCAAAAGGACGUAGUUUCUAACAGUUCUCCUCCCUCUCCUUUGUGGCUGACAAUGAAUGACCUAAUCCGCUUCCUUUCUGAGUAAUUCUCCUGCCCAGUGACUCACCCAGGUGCAGCUGAGACACACGGGCGCAGGGCUGCCACCUGCAAAGUGCAGAAACGAUGGAGCAGACGGGUCCAAGAGCCUUCGGCAUCCCAAAUGAAUCAGGAGGGACACGCAGGCUGCGUGACGUCUGCCCCUGAACCAGGAAAGUGUGGCUGCUUCCUCCACACCCCGCCCGCCGCCCCGGACCCAGGGCCCUUCUCAAAAAAGCAAUGCCCGGAGCUGCAGCAGUCAUUUUGUGAUUGUGAAGCCAUGAACUGGGGAAUGAAGACCAGCAUCAAAGAUGGCAAAACAGAGAGAGGUAAAGAGCAAUCAUUCCCUGAUGGCAUGGCUGGGCCACUGCUCCAACCCUGUGAGGCCACACGUCUCCAUAUUACAUGAGCCAAGGCUGUCUUCCGCAUCUAAACUUCUCUACACCCAGCUCGGGGUGGCACCGUGGCCUGGAGAUGCAGUUGGAACGAGGAAGAGAUAUCCCACUGGAAAACUUUUUCUGACUCUGAUGAGCUGGGCGUGGCGGCACACCUUAAUUCCAACUACGCGGAAGGCUGAGGCGGGAGGAGCUCUUGAGCCCAGGAGGCAGAGGUUGCCGUGAGCCGAGAUUAUACCACUGCCCUCCAGCCUGGGCAACAAAGUGAGACCCCGUCUCAAAAUAAAAAUAAAAAAAAUAGAAGAUGUAUCCCA
rnacentral:lncRNA from 13 species